rnacentral:rRNA from 1 species
AUUGAACGCUGGCGGCAGGCCUAACACAUGCAAGUCGAACGAGUGGCGGACGGGUGAGUAAUGGCUGGGAAACUGGCUGAUGGAGGGGGAUAACUACUGGAAACGGUAGCUAAUACCGCAUACCAUCGGAUGUGCCCAGAUGGGAUUAGCUAGUAGGUGGGGUAACGGCUCACCUAGGCGACGAUCCCUAGCUGGUCUGAGAGGAUGACCAGCCACACUGGAACUGAGACACGGUCCAGACUCCUACGGGAGGCAGCAGUGGGGAAUAUUGCACAAUGGGCGCAAGCCUGAUGCAGCCAUGCCGCGUGUGUGAAGAAGGCCUUCGGGUUGUAAAGUACUUUCAGCGAGGAGGCGUUACUCGCAGAAGAAGCACCGGCUAACUCCGUGCCAGCAGCCGCGGUAAUUC